GCAAUAGCCGGCCAAGCAAGGAGAUGAAAAGUAGUCACUACUCGCCUAACUACUGGAGUAGUAUAUGUAUGUACUCCUCCUAGCUGAGGCUUGGCUUGCACUGACACAAAAAAGGCAGAGAGAGAGAGAGAGAGAGAGAGAGAGAGAGAGAGAGAUGGGCACGGCUGCUGGCGAGAUGCCGCCGUUCAGCGCCGUGCGCGUGAACAAGCCCCUUGCCGCCGCCAACCGCCUCAUGGCGGCCGUCCACCUGUCCCUCGUCGCCGCGGUCAUCGCCCACCGCGCCCCGCUGUUGGUCUCCGCCGCCAACGCCACCAUGGUCGCGGCGGAUCUGACGCUCCUGUUUCUGUGGGCGCUGUCGCAGUCGAUGCUGUGGCGGCCCGUGUCGCGCGCCGCCUUCCCAGAGCGGCUGCUGCUGGCGGCCCGGCGGCGGAGCGAGCUGCCGGGCGUGGACGUGCUGGUGGUGACGGCGGACCCGGACAAGGAGCCGGCGCUGGGGGUGAUGAACACUGUGGUGUCGGCCAUGGCGCUGGAUUACCCCGGCGCGAGGCUGAGCGUGUACCUGUCGGACGACGCCGGGUCGCCGCUGACGCUGCUGGCGGCCCGCAAGGCCUACGGCUUCGCCAGGGCCUGGGUGCCCUUCUGCAGGAAGUACUCGGUGCAGUGCCCGUGGCCGGACAGGUACUUGGCCGGCGACGACGACGAGCGCCGUGGUGAGGCCGCCGAGGAGAGGCGAGGAAUCAAGAAACUGUACGAGACGUUCAAGGAGGACAUAGAGGAUGCCUGCAGGAAGCAUGCCGAUAGGACAAGAGAAAAACGCAAGGAUCACGAUGCUUAUGUGGAGAUCAUGAGUGCCGGCGACGAGGAGGAAGACGACGACGACGAAAGUAGGAUGCCGUUGCUGGUGUACGUGUCCCGUGAGAAGCGGAGGGCGUCCCCGCACCACUUCAAGGCCGGCGCUCUCAACGCCCUGCUCCGGGUGUCGAGCCUCGUGAGCAACGCGCCCUUUGUGCUGGUGCUGGACUGCGACAUGUCCUGCAACAGCCGCGCCUCCGCCCUGGAGGCCAUGUGCUUCCACCUCGACCGCCGCGGGGCCCCAGACAACGACCUCGCCUUCGUGCAGUUCCCGCAGAUGUUCCACAACCUCAGCCGCAGCGACAUCUACACCAACGACCUCAGAUACAUCUUCGCGACUCGAUGGUUCGGCCUGGACGGCCUCCGGGGCCCGCUCCUCUCCGGCACCGGCUUCUACGCCCGGAGAGACGCCCUGUACGGGGCCCCGCCGCCCGCCACGCAAGGCGGUGCUGACUUGUCGUCCGGCGAGCUGGCGAGGAGCUUCGGCCACUCGGACCAACUCCUGGCGUCCGUGCGCAGCGUGCUGCAAUCGUCAACACCACCCAGCAGCAGCAGCAGCAGCUCCGCCGAGAGUCCUCGUCUUGUUCCUCGAGACGCCACGCUUGUGGCCUCCUGCGCCUACGAGAAGGGCACCGGAUGGGGCCACCAGGUCGGCUUCAUGUACCAGUCGGUGGUGGAGGACUACUUCACCGGCUACCGCCGCUUCUUCGCCCGGGGCUGGACGUCGGCCUACUGCUACCCGGCGAGGCCCUCGUUCCUGGGCACCAUGCCCACCAACCUCAACGACGUCCUCGUCCAGAACAAGCGCUGGAUGUCCGGCAUGCUCGCCGUCGUCCUCUCCCGCCACUGCCCGCUCGCCUGCCGGGACCUCCUCGCCGUCUCCGUGCCCCAGGCCAUGGCCGUCGCCUACUUCGGCUUCCUCGCCCUCUCCGCAUUCCCGGUGCUCUGCUACGCCACCCUGCCGCAGCUCUGCUUCCUCCGCGGCGUCCCGCUGUUCCCCGACGCCCGGUGGUCCGCCGCCGCAUUCGCGUCCUCGCUGCUCCAGCACCUGGUGGAGGUGUCUGUGGCCAACCGGAGGCUGGCGGUGCGGGCCUGGUGGAACGAGCAGAGGUUCUGGAUGCUCAACGCCGUCACCGGCCAGCUCUUCGGCUGCGUCAGCGCCUUGCAGGACCUGCUCGGCGCGGCGGCUCUCGACUUCGACCUCACCGCCAAGGCUGGCGACGGCAGCCUGUACCACAGGGGCGUCUUCGACUUCACGGGCUGCUCCACGCUGCUGCUCCCGGCCACCACGCUCUGCGUGCUCAACGCCGCCGCGCUCGUCGGAGGGACCUGGAACAUGAUGACCAGAGGCGGCGGCGCCCGCAGCGAGCUGCUCCCGCAGCUCUUCCUCCUGAGCUACGUUGCGGCGCUGAGCUACCCGCUGCUGGAGGGGAUGUUCCUCCGCCAGGAUCCCGCAAGGGUUCCACGGCGAAUCACUGCACUCUCAGUAGCCUUCGCCGCCGUCCUGCUCGCCCUGUUUGGAUGAGAGAGAGCUCAAGAACCUUAUCAUGUUUUAUUUUUCUUGGCAAGCAUCAAGCAUUGAUGUACUUUGAGGCUUUCAUCAAACAUUGGUUGCUAGCAUUCGUACUGCACUGCAUGCAGUCCAGAUCAAAUUAAGCUCAUUAUUCAGUACAUUA